CGAGCGAAGUCUUCGGACUUAGCGGCGGACGGGUGAGUAACGCGUGGGAACAUACCCUUUGGUACGGAAUAGCCUCGGGAAACUGGGAGUAAUACCGUAUGUGCCCUUCGGGGGAAAGAUUUAUCGCCAAAGGAUUGGCCCGCGUCCGAUUAGCUUGUUGGUGAGGUAAUGGCUCACCAAGGCGACGAUCCAUAGCUGGUUUGAGAGGAUGAUCAGCCACACUGGGACUGAGACACGGCCCAGACUCC
rnacentral:rRNA from 1 species